CACGUAGGGCGCAAGCGUUGUCCGGAAUUAUUGGGCGUAAAGAGCUCGUAGGUGGUUUGUUACGUCUGCUGUGAAAACCUAGGGCUUAACCCUGGGCUUGCAGUGGAUACGGGCAGACUAGAGGUAGGUAGGGGAGACUGGAAUUCCUGGUGUAGCGGUGAAAUGCGCAGAUAUCGGGAGGAACACCGGUGGCGAAGGCGGUUCUCUGGGCCUGUACUGACGCUGAGGAGCGAAGCGUGGGGAGCGAACA
rnacentral:rRNA from 1 species